rnacentral:rRNA from 1 species
UACGACUACAUAUCAGGCAUAUCAAUAAGCGGAGGAAAAGAAACUAACUAGGAUUCCCUUAGUAACGGCGAGUGAAGCGGGAAGAGCUCAAAUUUGAAAUCUUCAAGGUUUUACCUUGACGAAUUGUAGUUUAAAGAAGUGUUUUCUGUUGAAGUUUUGGUAAAAGUUCUUUGGAAUAGGACAUCAUAGAGGGUGAGAAUCCCGUAUUUGACCAUUAUUUUCCAGCUGUGUGAUACACUUUCAAAGAGUCGGAUUGUUUGGGAAUGCAGUCCAAAAUGGGUGGUAAAUUUCAUCUAAAGCUAAAUAUUGGCGAGAGACCGAUAGCGAACAAGUACCGUGAGGGAAAGAUGAAAAGAACUUUGAAAAGAGAGUUAAACAGUACGUGAAAUUGUCAAAAGGGAAGCGUUUGACACCAGUGUUGUUUUCUCGAAAAUCAAUUAAAAAGAGUUGGAUUUUGUGUUGUAUUGACCUUAACAGCUUGCUUCACUCUUUUCCAGCUUUUUUUAAUGCACUUUUCGUUUAACAAGUCAACAUCAGUUUCUUUUGUUGUAAAAGGGUCAUUGGAAGGUGGCUUUCUCUUCGGAGAAAGUGUUUAUAGCCUUUGAUCUCUGCAAUCGGAGAGACUGAGGUCUGCAGCGUAGAUCCUUCGGGGUUAGAUACAUUUGUGCUAAGCUACAGCUUUUCAUAGACAACUUGUUGACUAUGUUUAGCCUUGUAACUUACCCGCUUAUGCUAUUUUACCUACGCUUAGGAUGUUGAGCGCAUGUCUCUCUCU